GACGUAGGGCGCGAGCGUUGUCCGGAUUUAUUGGGCGUAAAGAGCUCGUAGGCGGCUUGUCGCGUCGGUCGUGAAAACCUGCAGCUCAACUGCAGGCUUGCGGUCGAUACGGGCAGGCUGGAGUUCGGUAGGGGAGACUGGAAUUUACGGUGUAGCGGUGAAAUGCGUAGAUAUCGUAAGGAAGACCAGUGGCGAAGGCGGGUCUCUGGACAGUUCCUGACGCUGAGGCACGAAGGCUAGGGGAGCAAACGGG
rnacentral:rRNA from 1 species